GGCGAAUGAACAAAUUAUCUUUACUAUAAUUUACUAUAAUUUUUCUCGGAGAAUAUAUAUAGAAUUGCCUUAAUGCUCGUACAAUCAAAUAAAAAAUCCACUAAUCUAAAAAUAAAUGACUUGAAAUAAAAAAGCCAUAUUGAGAGAGGAUACAACGUUCAACAUAUAGCUUGGAUUCAAUAAAAAGAUUCAAUAAAGAAUUAUCGGUUUUUACAGGCGGAAAGUUUCAAGUGGAUUUUCAAUACCACUCUAAAAAGAAAGUUCUUUAGUGCCGCCGCUCGGCUGAUAAUGUGCCUGUUUAUAAAGGAUAAAGGCACAAAGCAAAAACGAAGAAACACGAUUAGAGAGGAAGAGUGCCGAGGCAUUCUGGAUGGAAUAGACCGUCUUUAAUAUAUCGAUUAUAUAUCGGUGACUAAGGUACCCCUUUUACAUUAGAUGAGCGCAGCAUCUUUAUCUUUCCGGCAUAUGAAUGAGCGGCAAGCUUAUCCGAGAAUUUUCCGAGAACCUCACGCUCAUUCUUCGCGCUUUUAUUAUCAUUAAUUGCGAAACAUUAAAAUGAAGGCUGUGUUAAUAAAAUCUGCAAAAUAA